UCCCUCUCAGGACCACACCUGGAGAGUUUCCGGUAUUCUACCAGUCUUGGAUAUGGGAGGGAGAGUCAAGCAGAGGCCUGUCCAUUCCAUUCCUAGCUUGGGCAGUGGCCAGCGAGUGGAAGGUCAUCUGUUGCAAGU